rnacentral:lncRNA from 1 species
UCUAUGCGGUAUUGUGAAAAUGCAUACAUCCAAGCCUUGUGACUGUGGCGAUAAACCCCUAAACGAAUUUAAAGGUCUAUCUUGUGUAAAUGUAUAUCGAAUUCGGUCAUUCCUUCCACUCAAACAAACCUAGGGUUCAGGAACGGGAGUUGUCAAGUCCUAUGGUACCAUUACCUACUAACGAGCGGCAUGAUCGGUGUUAAUGAAUGUACAUUGUCUUAUUUAAACAAACCAAAUGUCAUACCAAAAUGUAAGCAUGUGAUGAAUAAAUGUACUAAGUAUGCACACAAUGGGCAUACAUAGCAUAAAAUGUAAUGUAAAAUGAUGUACUAAAUAUGCACACAAUGGGCAUACAUAGCAUAAAAUGUAAUGUAAAAUGAUUAUGCACACAAUGGGCAUACAUAGCAUAAAAACAAUGAAAUCAUGUACUAUAAGUGUACUAUUGAACAUAACAAGCAUAUGAUAUGAAAGCAUGAAAGGCAUGAAAGUAACAAGUAGGCACAUGUGUUUCACCCCAAAAUGUUUGGAA